AUUGAACGCUGGCGGCAUGCUUUACACAUGCAAGUCGAACGGUAACAGGUUAAGCUGACGAGUGGCGAACGGGUGAGUAAUGCAUCGGAACGUGCCCGGUCGUGGGGGAUAACGCAGCGAAAGCUGCGCUAAUACCGCAUACGAUCUGAGGAUGAAAGCGGGGGACCGUAAGGCCUCGCGCGAUCGGAGCGGCCGAUGUCAGAUUAGGUAGUUGGUGGGGUAAAGGCUCACCAAGCCGACGAUCUGUAGCUGGUCUGAGAGGACGACCAGCCACACUGGGACUGAGACACGGCCCAGACUCCUACGGGAGGCAGCAGUGGGGAAUUUUGGACAAUGGGCGCAAGCCUGAUCCAGCAAUGCCGCGUGCAGGAAGAAGGCCUUCGGGUUGUAAACUGCUUUUGUACGGAACGAAACGGUCUGGGUUAAUACCCUGGGCUAAUGACGGUACCGUAAGAAUAAGCACCGGCUAACUACGUG
rnacentral:rRNA from 1 species